UUAUGUAUAUUUCUAUUUUUUUCCUAGGCUAAGGCCCAUGUAGUGUGCGGGGGUGACCAGAAUCUCAGUACCAUGUGACUAACCCCUCCCCUUCCCCUCCUCUCCUCAGUGUCCUUUUGUCCUUGCUUUCCCCCCCCCCCUCUCAGCGUCACUGUGUUGACCACUUCUAUAACAAAUUUACCCCGUGAAUAAACGUAAUUUCUCCUGCUUGGCCAGGUUAUAGAGGCGAAUUUUUCACCUAAUCCCAGAGAAUGGGGAGCCCUUAAUACGAUAAAAUUAAUUCUAUAAUGGUAAGGUCUUAAACCAGCCCAAACAAACCCCAGAUAAUUACGCCGCGCCAAUGAGGUUGACGAAUCUGAUAAGUCUUCUUUGCUUCGCUAUCCUAUCACCCUUGUUGCUACGCAAGCCGGGAAGAGAUACCAGACUUUGACUAAUUCCCCAAUUGAUUUCAAAAGUCCAUUGAAUUAAACUUCUUAAAGUAACAACUAUAAAGUAAACAGUAACUUAAUUAUUCAUAUUUUUCAUCCCUGAACUCACAACCUAGUCGCCCUCCCCCCCCCCUACUAAAAACAAAAUUAUAACUUAAUAAAUUUCCCCAUUGGAAACCUUUAUCCUUAGUUUCCCGCCGAUUUCCUCACAAGCAAAGCCAGUCUCUCUCGGAUUCUCCUCAGACCCUCUUGGAUUCCCCUCAGAUAUUCCUGUUGAUAAACUAUUUCUGAGUGGAUAGAUAUUCGCAUUUUUUCGUUCUGUUUUUGUUGGUUUUCUCCACGGGACUAGUGAAACCACCUGGUUCGAGAUCACCGUGUGAGACUGUCCUCAGGUCUAUACAUACUUUUUGGGUAUAUAUUUGUUAUUUAUUUAUUUAUUCUCUGGUCUCCCCCGCAAUUCAGUAGUCGCGAAAAUAUCUCCAUCGUAGUUUUAUGUAAUUGAAGAAUACGCUACCAUUUAUUUUGUAUUUCGGAAUUAUGUAACUGAAGAGUACGCUACCAUUUAUUUUGUAUUUCUGAAUUCCUUUCUUAUUAUUAUUAUUUCGGAUUAUUCCAUUAUUUAUUAAAAAUCAUAAAAGUGUCA